GAUGAACGCUGGCGGCGUGCCUAAUACAUGCAAGUCGAGCGAACAGACGAGGAUCUUGCUCCUUUGACGUUAGCGGCGGACGGGUGAGUAACACGUAGGUAACCUACCUAUAAGACUGGGAUAACUUCGGGAAACCGGAGCUAAUACCGGAUAAUAUUUCGAACCGCAUGGUUCGAUAGUGAAAGAGGGCUUUGCUAUCACUUAUCGAUUGACCUGCCCCUUAUUAGCUAGUUGGUAAGGUAAAGGCUUACCAAGGCAACGAUACGUAGCCGACCUGAGGGGGUGAUCGGCCACACUGGAACUGAGACGCGGUCCAGACUCCUACGGGAGGCAGCAGUAGGGAAUCUUCCGCAAUGGGCGAAAGCCUGACGGAGCAACGCCGCGUGAGUGAUGAAGGUCUUCGGAUCGUAAAACGCUGUUAUGAGGGAAGAACAAACGUGUAAGUAACUGUGCACGUCUUGACGGUACCUAAUCAGAAAGCCACGGCUAACUACGUG
rnacentral:rRNA from 1 species